CUAUUCUUACCCUUUAUGUCGUUCGCCAGCGCUUUCCAGGUAGGGGAAAAUUGGAUGCAGUGACCGCACCAGGAAGCAUAAAACUCGACCACCCAAGCGCUGCUGGAGUUCAAGACGCUGCGUUCCAGCGUGUCCGCCGACAGCAACACCAGCGGGUCGUCGGGCGAGUAGAGGCCGAGGCUGAGCGCCCCGGGCAUCGGUACCAGCAGCAAGAAGAAGGAGGAGAGGAAGACGCAAGCCGGCGGUGCCAACAGCCCCGGCCGGGCCCGAGAGAGCCUUCUCGGCAUGACGAUCAGCAAGACCGCAGUGGCUGGGAAAGGAAAGCGGCAAACGGCGAAGUGUGCGUCCGCUGCCCAGCGCCCAGCCGACAAGUCGCUCGGCCUCUUGUAGGAGGAGCUGGAGGCGGAGCGCUCCAAGCAAGCGCCGCCCUACGCAAACCCCGGGGAGAUCCGCCCCGCACAUCGCACGUGCGGCCGCCCAGCCCCCGGAUUGUCAGCAGGCCCCUCCUCCGUGCAUAGGAAGCGAGACGCAGGCAAAGUGAGGAGAGGCGGCAGGACGGGAGCAGCUGGCGACGGAGGCGAAAGCCCGCAGAAUAAAGUGCGCUGACUUCCAGGAGACGGGCUGGCUGCUUACCUUGCAGAAUGUUACUUGCUGUGUUUUGAUUGACUCCUGCAAAUCUCACAAGAUCUGGAAACACCCUUGCCACAAACACACAGAUACAGGAAAAUAAACAUAAUAUCCUCAAGCAUAAUCUACAAUUUAGCCUCAGUUUUUGGCUUGCCGCCCAAGCCAGGCCUCCUGGAGACUGGGGCCUGAUAAAGUGUGCAUUCCCUCCUCCAACACAACUGGCACCAUGCUUGGGCCCUACAUGCAGCUGACUGACAGGACAGGAGCUGUGUGGGUUUGAAGAACGCAUGCUCAGAAAGAGUACACUAAAAAUAACCUUUCUUUUUGCAACCGUCGGGGAGUUCCAACAGUUUUUUGCCUUAGGCAAGCCACUAUCUUCCAACCUCAGCCUAUUUCCCCCCACUGGUAUAAUCUGCAAUAUAAGAGUAAUGCUUGUGGCCUACCUUACAAUACUGUUGUAAUGAAAUAAAGGUGACACUCUUUUAACACUUUGAA